GUAAGUAACCCCUUUAUUUAGCAGUAACCCACAGUAGACCACGGCCUUGAGGAGAUGAUGAGGAGGAGGAGGAUGAUGAUGAUGUUGGGUAUCUCAUACUGUUGCCCAGGAAAAGGAUGGGCUCUUUGGAAACAAGCAAACUGUACGUGUCUUAUUUUCUGUCAAAGAUGACAUUGGAGCGCCUUUCCAAUCCACUCCUUUCCAAGAUGCGUUCCUUUCUAGUCAAUUCUCAGUUGAUCUGGCCUCCAGAACGCAUGUAGCCAAGACCACCUGAGAGCCUAUCUAUCAAGAUAAUAUCCAAGAAGCUGGCUGCGGAUGACACUGAACUUGGCCUAAAGCGAGCUCUGCUGGUGGCUCCGGGAGGAUGCAGAUUUAUCUUUCUGCUAUGGCUGACCUCGCGGUGAACCGCGCGCUGGGGACGGUUCUUUUUUUCUGCCUGGCAUUGUCUGCCUUGCUGUGCAACGCAUAAGGGACCCCAAUUUGGACAUUUUAAUUGUGUAACAAUGGUGUAAAUUUCUCCCCAGACGUCACAAUGAUAAUGGCAUAGAAUAAUGGUUUUACUUAUAUUUUCUACACCACAAACUGUAAUGGAAAUAAAGUUACAUUUCGUUGCAUUGGC
ensembl:lncRNA